AGGCACGGCUGUCAGGAAAGGAGGGCCUUUUCCAGGCUCUUUCCAAACUGGACCUCAGACAUACUGGGAGAUAAAGGGAUGUAGAAGAGCUAAAGAUAAAUGUCCUGACUCCAGGAAGUGGCGCUCUUUGGAUGAAGUUGCCAAGGAAGGCAAUUCCAGCCAUCCUCCAGCAUCUAAAGGAGGAAAGGCUCCUCAGCCGGUGCAGUCGGAGGGCUUCGCUCCCGCUCCGGAGAGAGCAGCGUUAAGGGAGCAGCUCAUCGGCUCAAGACUGAUUUCACUUGCAAAAGCACUGCGGCUUCGCAAUCGCUGACACUUGUGCGGUGUAAACAGGCUGGGUGGCUGCUGGUAACUCCGUGCCUCUCCCCAGGGGAGUCCUGAGGAGAGCUGCGAUGUGCCCUGCUGUGUGGAGGGGGGUCUGAUUCCCCUGGGAGGCUGGUGCAUCACCUUGUCCUUCCUGCACGGCACCUGCAAGCAUGGCCUCAAAUUUGGUCUGGACAGACUUCCCGGAUGAAUUUGGGAAAGUGCCAUUGUGUCAGUAUGGUAACACCACACUUCGGAGAAUAAAAAGUUUGUUUGUCCAGUG